rfam:Schizosaccharomyces pombe chromosome I, complete replicon
GCUCUUGUAGCUCAGUGGUAGAGCGCUUGCCUAGUAAGCAAGAGGCCCAGUGUUCGAGUCACUGCUGGAGCA